GACCAGAGGAAAGAGUGUAAGUGCCUCUCUUUCACAACAUUUUUGUGGCGAUUCAAAUAAAUUAGCGUAUUUGUGCGCCUUGCACUUUACUAAAGGACAGGUACCUUUUUGAACAGACCCAAUGGAUGCAGAUAGAAGAAAAGGCAAAUACCCUGAUCCAGGGACUGGGAUCAGGAUGUUUUGAUUUGUGAUAAAGUAAGGCACAUGUUGAGUGACCAAAGAAAUUCUCAGGAAAAUGCUGCUUCAGAUCGCAGACUGCAUGUUAAGAGAAGUGUGCUGAGGUUUAACGGGAUUUUUAUGUGCUAGAGAACACACCACAUGCCUAUUCAGAGAUGGAGACAAUCCCCUGAAACAUAUACACAACAUUCUGAUGCACAUAUGGGGGUUUCCUGGUUCUGCUUGCUGGCUGGAGGCUGUGAGGGAAGUGGAUUUGAGUCUUCAGCAUCUAUCAGUCUGCAAAAGAGCCACUCUGACAUAGGGAGCAGUCUGCUAUCUCUCAUUCUAUAACUGGUUGUUGUGCAUUAGAUUUC